UCGUCGCAAUCUUGGCUCGAAAGGACCUGGUGAAUUCACGAAUUUGAGGGCUAUAAAGCUGUUGUUAUUUGUGUCCAGGCAUGUCAAGAUAAUAUUUUUGCUAUUAUGUGCUCUUUAGGAGAAGACCGGAGCUUUUGCAUGCUCUCAUCAACGAAUAGGAAGCUAUCAGAUCUUCCAAAGUUAAAAAACUUAGAACGCAAGAUAUUGGUGUUCUGAACCCAUAUGCAAUUCAUAUCUAAUUGCUUGCUGUGUUGCAGGCACAAAGUGUGAAGUGCAAAAAUAUUUUUGGAAUCAAAAUAUCCCAUAUCAAAUCUUACAGUUUACACAAAAAGCGAUUCAGUGGAUGUCGCCACACAGCUUGCCUGCCUCCUUGCAGUCUUCUCCAAGCUGGCUUUUCAGAUAGGUGGUGAUGGAUAUGCAGUGUGAAGUGAAGAAAGGAAAGACAACUAUGAGGUUACUAGGUGACUGAAGUUGUUCCGUUGAGUUUUCUUCUGAGAUCAUGCAUGCUUGCAAAUCAUAGUUUAGUUUGGAAUCCAUGGUCUUGAAUUAGCAUUGUAUCUUGAAUUGGAUUGUAACAAAACAAAAUUCUUGUGGUAUGAAUGUAUGCUACCGAUGUGCUCUUUUUUC